rnacentral:rRNA from 1 species
ACACGUAAGGGGCAAGCGUUGUUCGGAAUUAUUGGGCGUAAAGGGCGCGUAGGCGGUUUUACAAGUCUGGUGUGAAAGAUCUCAGCUUAACUGAGGGACCGCGCUGGAAACUGUAAGACUAGAAUCUAGGAGGGGAAGCUGGAAUUCCUGGUGUAGGGGUGAAAUCUGUAGAUAUCAGGAAGAACACCGGUGGCGAAGGCGAGCUUCUGGCCAUAGAUUGACGCUGAGGCGCGAAAGCGUGGGGAGCGAACAGGAUUAGAUACCCCAGUAGUCC